rnacentral:sRNA from 1 species
GUUUCAAUUCCUCAUAGGCAGGCUAUCGGCAUUAACAAAACAUUAAAGUCUAGGCUUAGAGCCUUGGG